rnacentral:rRNA from 1 species
GUCUAUGGCCAUGCCACCCUGAACAAGCCCGAUCCUGUCUGAUCUCAGAAGCUAAGCAGGGUCGGGCCUUGUUAGUACUUGGAUGGGAGACCACCUAGGAAGACCAGGUGCUGUAGGUG